rnacentral:rRNA from 1 species
UACGUAGGGGGCAAGCGUUGUCCAGAUUCAUUGGGCGUAAAGAGCGUGUAGGCGGCCAGGUAGGUCGGUUGUGAAAACUGGAGGCUCAACCUUCAGAGGUCGACCGAAACCAUCUGGCUAGAGUCCGGGAGAGGAGAGUGGAAUUCCUGGUGUAGCGGUGAAAUGCGCAGAUAUCGGGAAGAACACCCGUGGCGAAAGCGGCUCUCUGGAACGGUACUGACGCUGAGACGCGAAAGCGUGGGGAGCGAACAGG